GGCAAGUCUGGUGCCAGCAGCCGCGGUAAUUCCAGCUCCAAUAGCGUAUAUUAAAGUUGUUGCAGUUAAAAGCUCGUAGUUGAGAUUUGGGACGGGGCGGUGGUCUGGCUCCGGUCAGUACUGCUGCAGCGCGUUCUUUUUCCGGUCAGGACGGCGUGCCCUUGAGUGGGUGCGACGGGCUGCGGAACGAUUACCUUGAGAAAAAUAGAGUGUUUAAAGCAGGCGAAUGCUUGAAUACCGUAGCAUGGAAUAAUAGAAUAGGACAUGGUUCAUAUUUUGUUGGUUUUCUAGGGCCGAGGGUCGAUGAUGAAUAGGGACGAGUUGGGGUCGAUUAGUAUUCAGUAGUCAGAGGUGAAAUUCUUGGAUUUACUGAAGACUGACUAAUGCGAAAGACAUUUG
rnacentral:rRNA from 1 species